rnacentral:rRNA from 1 species
UGGGGAAUAUUGCACAAUGGGCGCAAGCCUGAUGCAGCCAUGCCGCGUGUGUGAAGAAGGCCUUCGGGUUGUAAAGCACUUUCAGCGGGGAGGAAGGCGGUGAGGUUAAUAACCUCAUCGAUUGACGUUACCCGCAGAAGAAGCACCGGCUAACUCCGUGCCAGCAGCCGCGGUAAUACGGAGGGUGCAAGCGUUAAUCGGAAUUACUGGGCGUAAAGCGCACGCAGGCGGUCUGUCAAGUCGGAUGUGAAAUCCCCGGGCUCAACCUGGGAACUGCAUUCGAAACUGGCAGGCUAGAGUCGUGUAGAGGGGGGUAGAAUUACAGGUGUAGCGGUGAAAUGCGUAGAGAUCUGGAGGAAUACAGGUGGCGAAGGCGGCCCCCUGGACAAAGACUGACGCUCAGGUGCGAAAGCGUGGGGAGCAAACAGG